rnacentral:lncRNA from 1 species
GGACAGAAGAACUUGUAGAAUCGAGGAGCUUCCUGGAUUCCAGACCUCAGUGUCGGAACCUGUCCACGUAUUUAGAAGGCUUAAGCAAACCUUCCCUGAUUCAUACAGGUUCGGAUUGAGGCGUAGCCCCCAUGAAUGGUAGUGAACCAACUGCAAAAAUUCGACUUCAUGAGUCUUGUUUACAUAUAUAUAUACACGUUCAUGAUUUACGUGAAUAUUCACUUUAUGCAGAGACCAAGUAGAACUUACAGGUGGUUCGUACGGAUAGUUAGAAGGGAGAAAAAUGUCAAAAAAGAACAGCCCGUCAUGGUAGGGCGUGCCAGGGGCACCAACAAGUACCGC